rnacentral:rRNA from 1 species
CCUACGGGAGGCAGCAGUGGGGAAUAUUGCUCAAUGGCGGAAACCCUGAUGCAGCGACGCCGCGUGAGUGUAGAAGUAUUUCGGUAUGUAAAGCUCUAUCAGCAGGGAAGAAAAUGACGGUACCUGAUUCAGAAGACCCGGCUAACUAGGUGACCGCAGCCGCGGUAAUACGUAGGGGGCAAGCGUUAUCCGGAUUUACUGGGUGUAAGGGGAGCGUAGACGGGAGCACAAGUCUGGAGUGAAAUGCCGGGGCUUAACGCCGGAACUGCUUUGGAUACUGUGCAGCUAGAGUGCAGGCGAGGUAAGUGGAAUGUCUAGUGUAGCGGUGAAAUGCAUAGAUAUUA